rnacentral:rRNA from 1 species
GGACACGUGAAAUCCUGUCUGAACAUGGGGGGACCAUCCUCCAAGCCUAAGUACUCCUACAUGACCGAUAGUGAACCAGUACCGUGAGGGAAAGGUGAAAAGAACCCUGAACAAGGGAGUGAAAUAGAACCUGAAACCGUACGCUUACAAGCGGAGGGAGCCUACGGGUGACCUCGUGCCUUUUGCAUAAUGAUCCUACGAGUUACUCCUCACUAGCGAGGUUAAGCAUUUAAGAUGCGUAGCCGAAGCGAAAGCGAGUCUGAAUAGGGCGAACUAGUUAGUGGGGGUAGACGCGAAACUUGGUGAUCUACCCAUGAGCAGGUUGAAGUUGCAGUAACAUGUAAUGGAGGACCGAACCAGUAAACGUUGAAAAGUUUUUGGAUGACUUGUGGGUAGGGGUGAAAGGCCAAUCAAACUGAGAGAUAGCUCGUACUCCCCGAAAUGCAUUUAGGUGCAGCGUUGAGGAUUAUAGUUAUAGAGGUAGAGCUACUGAUUGGAUGCGGGGGCUUCACCGCCUACCAAUUCCUGACAAACUCCGAAUGCUAUAUAAUGUUUCAGGGCAGUGAGGGCAUGGGUGCUAAGGUCCAUGUCCGAGAGGGAAAGAACCCGGACCAUCAGCUAAGGUCCCCAAAUAUGUGCUAAGUUGACAAAACGCGGUGGGACUGCACAGACAGCCAGGAUGUUGGCUUGGAAGCAGCCAUU